ensembl:miRNA
GGGUGGGGAUUUGUUGCAUUACUUGUAUUAUAUGUAAAGUAUUGCACUUGUCCCGGCCUGU